AUGAGCUGAAAAUUUUGGACCAC
rnacentral:siRNA from 1 species